rnacentral:rRNA from 1 species
GAUGAACGCUGGCGGCGUGCCUAAUACAUGCAAGUCGAGCGAAUGGAUUGAGAGCUUGCUCUUAUGAAGUUAGCGGCGGACGGGUGAGUAACACGUGGGUAACCUGCCCAUAAGACUGGGAUAACUCCGGGAAACCGGGGCUAAUACCGGAUAACAUUUUGAACCGCAUGGUUCGAAAUUGAAAGGCGGCUUCGGCUGUCACUUGUGGAUGGACCCGCGUCGCAUUAGCUAGUUGGUGAGGUAACGGCUCACCAAGGCAACGAUGCGUAGCCGACCUGAGAGGGUGAUCGGCCACACUGGGACUGAGACACGGCCCAGACUCCUACGGGAGGCAGCAGUAGGGAAUCUUCCGCAAUGGACGAGAGUCUGACGGAGCAACGCCGCAUGAGUGAUGAAGGCUUUCGGGUCGUAAAACUCUGUUGUUAGGGAAGAACAAGUGCUAGUUGAAUAAGCUGGCACCUUGACGGUACCUAACCAGAAAGCCACGGCUAACUACGUGCCAGCCGCCGCCGUAA